rnacentral:lncRNA from 1 species
AUGCUCAAAAUUCUCCAAGCUAGGCUUCAGCAAUAUGUGAACCAUGAACUUCCAGAUAUUCAAGCUGGUUUUAGAAAAGGCAGAGGAACCAGAGAUCAAAUUGCCAACAUCCGCUGGAUCAUCGAAAAAGCAAGAGAGUUCCAGAAAAACAUCUAUUUCUGCUUUAUUGACUAUGCCAAAGCCUUUGACUGUGUGGAUCACAAUAAACUGUGGAAAAUUCUGAAAGAGAUGGGAAUACCAGACCACCUAACCUGCCUCUUGAGAAAUCUGUAUGCAGGUCAGGAAGCAACAGAUGGAACUGGACAUGGAACAACAGACUGGUUCCAAAUAGGAAAAGGAGUACAUCAAGGCUGUAUAUUGUCACCCUGCUUAUUUAACUUCUAUGCAGAGUACAUCAUGAGAAACACUGGGCUGGAAGAAGCACAAACUGGAAUCAAGAUUGCCAGGAGAAAUCUCAAUAACCUCAGAUUUGCAGAUGACACCACCCUUAUGGCAGAAAGUGAAGAGGAGCUAAAAAGCCUCUUGAUGAAAGUGAAAGAGGAGAGUGAAAAAGUUGGCUUAAAGCUCAACAUUCAGAAAACGAAAAUCAUGGCAUCUGGUCCCAUCACUUCAUGGGAAAUGGAUGGGGAAAUAGUCAAAGCAGUGUCAGAUUUUACUUUUGGGGGCUCCAAAAUGACUGCAGAUGGUGACUGCAGCCAUGUAAUUAAAAGACGCUUACUCUUUGGAAGGAAAGUUAUGACCAACCUAAACAGUAUAUUGAAAAGCGGAGACAUUACUUUGGCAACAAACGUCCAUCUAGUCAAGGCUAUGGUUUUUCCUGUGGUCAUGUAUGGAUGUGAGAGUUGGACUGUGAAGAAAGCUGAGCACCGAAAAAUUGACGCUUUUGAACUAUGGUGCUGGAUAAGACUCUUGAGAGUCCCUUGGACAGCAAGGAGAUCCAACCAGUCCCAUCCUAAAGGAGACCAGUCCUGUGUGUUCAUUGGAAGGACUGAUGCUGAAGCUGAAACUCCAAAUCUUUGGCCACCUCAUGCAAAGAGUUGA